CGCUGGCGGCGUGCUUAACACAUGCAAGUCGAACGAGACGAAUUAGAAGCUUGCUUUUGACGAGUCGAGUGGCAAACGGGUGAGUAACGCGUAGACAACCUGCCGCAAAGAUGGGGACAACAGUCCGAAAGGACUGCUAAUACCGAAUGUUGUGUCACAUUCGCAUGAAUGAGACAUUAAAGAUGGCCUCUACUUGUAAGCUAUCGCUUUGCGAUGGGUCUGCGUCUGAUUAGCUAGUUGGUGGGGCAACGGCCUACCAAGGCGACGAUCAGUAGCCGGUCUGAGAGGAUGAACGGCCACAUUGGAACUGAGACACGGUCCAGACUCCUACGGGAGGCAGCAGUGGGGAAUCUUCCGCAAUGGGCGCAAGCCUGACGGAGCAACGCCGCGUGAGUGAAGAAGGCCUUCGGGUCGUAAAGCUCUGUUGUCGGGGACGAAUGUUACUGCUUAAAAUAUAGGUAGUAAAUGACGGUACCUGACGAGGAAGCCACG
rnacentral:rRNA from 1 species